UACGGAGGAUCCGAGCGUUAUCCGGAUUUAUUGGGUUUAAAGGGUGCGCAGGCGGGAAAUUAAGUCGGCGGUGAAAUUUUGCGGCUCAACCGUAAAAGUGCCUUCGAAACUGGUUUCCUUGAGUGUAGAUGAAGUAGGCGGAAUUUGUGGUGUAGCGGUGAAAUGCAUAGAUAUCACGAGGAACUCCGAUUGCGCAGGCAGCUUACUAAACUACUACUGACGCUCAGGCACGAAGGCGUGGGGAUCAAACAGGAUUAGAUACCCGCGUAGUCCCUGA
rnacentral:rRNA from 1 species